CUGGACCUACGGGACGCAGCAGUGAGGAAUAUUGGUCAAUGGUCGGGAGACUGAACCAGCCACGCCGCGUGAGGGAUGAAGGUACAGAGUAUCGUAAACCUCUUUUGUCAGGGAACAAAGGCGGGGACGUGUCCCCGGAUGAGUGUACCUGAAGAAAAAGCAUCGGCUGACUCCGUGCCAGCAGCCGCGGUAAUACGGAGGAUGCGAGCGUUAUCCGGAUUUAUUGGGUUUAAAGGGUGCGCAUGCGGUCUGUUAAGUCAGCGGGCAAAGCACGGGGCUCAAACCCGGCCCGCCG
rnacentral:rRNA from 1 species